AUUCCAGCUCCAAUAGCGUAUAUUAAAGUUGUUGUGGUUAAAAAGCUCGUAGUUGGAUCUCGGCGGUCUGAGGGCGGUUCGCUUCAGAGCGCUACUGCCCUAUAGACCGUAGUUUUGCCAGAGGUCUCAGGGUGCUCUUAACCGAGUGUCUUGCGAUGCUGGCAGGUUUACUUUGAAAAAAUUAGAGUGCUCAAAGCAGGCUUUUACGCCUGAAUAUUCGUGCAUGGAAUAAUAGAAUAGGAAGUCGUUUCUAUUUUGUUGGUUUUCGGAAAUCGACCUAAUGAUUAAUAGGGACAGUUGGGGGUAUUCGUAUUCCGUUGUCAGAGGUGAAAUUCUUGGAUUUACGGAAGACGAACUACUGCGAAAGCAUUUACCAAGGAUGUUUUCAUUA
rnacentral:rRNA from 1 species